rnacentral:rRNA from 1 species
UACAGGCUUAACACAUGCAAGUCGAGGGGCAGCAUGGUCUUAGCUUGCUAAGGCCGAUGGCGACCGGCGCACGGGUGAGUAACACGUAUCCAACCUGCCGUCUACUCUUGGACAGCCUUCUGAAAGGAAGAUUAAUACAAGAUGGCAUCAUGAGUCCGCAUGUUCACAUGAUUAAAGGUAUUCCGGUAGACGAUGGGGAUGCGUUCCAUUAGAUAGUAGGCGGGGUAACGGCCCACCUAGUCUUCGAUGGAUAGGGGUUCUGAGAGGAAGGUCCCCCACAUUGGAACUGAGACACGGUCCAAACUCCUACGGGAGGCAGCAGUGAGGAAUAUUGGUCAAUGGGCGAGAGCCUGAACCAGCCAAGUAGCGUGAAGGAUGACUGCCCUAUGGGUUGUAAACUUCUUUUAUAAAGGAAUAAAGUCGGGUAUGGAUACCCGUUUGCAUGUACUUUAUGAAUAAGGAUCGGCUAACUCCGUGCCAGCAGCCGCGGUAAUACGGAGGAUCCGAGCGUUAUCCGGAUUUAUUGGGUUUAAAGGGAGCGUAGAUGGAUGUUUAAGUCAGUUGUGAAAGUUUGCGGCUCAACCGUAAAAUUGCAGUUGAUACUGGAUAUCUUGAGUGCAGUUGAGGCAGGCGGAAUUCGUGGUGUAGCGGUGAAAUGCUUAGAUAUCACGAAGAACUCCGGUUGCGAAGGCAGCCUGCUAAGCUGCAACUGACAUUGAGGCUCGAAAGUGUGGGUAUCAAACAGGAUUAGAUACCCUGGUAGUCCACACGGUAAACGAUGAAUACUCGCUGUUUGCGAUAUACUGCAAGCGGCCAAGCGAAAGCGUUAAGUAUUCCCACCUGGGGAGUACGCCGGCAACGGUGAAACUCAAAGGAAUUGACGGGGGCCCGCACAAGCGGAGGAACAUGUGGUUUAAUUCGAUGAUACGCGAGGAACCUUACCCGGGCUUAAAUUGCAGAUGAAUUACGGUGAAAGCCGUAAGCCGCAAGGCAUCUGUGAAGGUGCUGCAUGGUUGUCGUCAGCUCGUGCCGUGAGGUGUCGGCUUAAGUGCCAUAACGAGCGCAACCCUUGUUGUCAGUUACUAACAGGUUCCGCUGAGGACUCUGACAAGACUGCCAUCGUAAGAUGUGAGGAAGGUGGGGAUGACGUCAAAUCAGCACGGCCCUUACGUCCGGGGCUACACACGUGUUACAAUGGGGGGUACAGAGGGCCGCUACCACGCGAGUGGAUGCCAAUCCCCAAAACCUCUCUCAGUUCGGACUGGAGUCUGCAACCCGACUCCACGAAGCUGGAUUCGCUAGUAAUCGCGCAUCAGCCACGGCGCGGUGAAUACGUUCCCAGGCCUUGUACACACCGCCCGUCAAGCCAUGGGAGCCGGGGGUACCUGAAGUGCGUAACCGCGAGGAGCGCCCUAGGGUAAAACUGGUGACUGGGGCUAAGUA